rnacentral:rRNA from 1 species
UUUGACGUUAGCGGCGGACGGGUGAGUAACACGUGGGUAACCUACCUAUAAGACUGGAAUAACUCCGGGAAACCGGGGCUAAUGCCGGAUAACAUGUUGAACCGCAUGGUUCUACAGUGAAAGACGGUCUUGCUGUUAUAGAUGGACCCGCGCCGUAUUAGCUAGUUGGUGGGGUAACGGCCUACCAAGGCGACGAUACGUAGCCGACCUGAGAGGGUGAUCGGCCACACUGGAACUGAGACACGGUCCAGACUCCUACGGGAGGCAGCAGUAAUCUUCCGCAAUGGGCGAAAGCCUGACGGAGCAACGCCGCGUGAGGUGAUGAAGGUCCUUCGGAUCGUAAAGCUCUGUUGUUAGGGAAGAACAAAUGUUGUAAGUAACUGUGCACAUCUUGACGGUACCUAACCAAGCCACGGCUAACUACGUGCCAGCAGCCGCGGUAAUACGUAGGUGGCAAGCGUUAUCCCGGAAUUAUUGGGCGUAAAGCGCGCGUAGGCGGUUUUUUAAGUCUGAUGUGAAAGCCCACGGCUCAACCGUGGAGGGUCAGGGAAACUGGAAAACUUGAGUGCAGAAGAGGAAAGUGGAAUUCCAUGUGUAGCGGUGAAAUGCGCAGAGAUAUGGGAGGAACACCAGUGGCGAAGGCGGCUUUCUGGUCUGCAACUGACGCUGAUGUGCGAAAGCGUGGAUCAAACAGGAUUAGAUACCCUGGUAGUCCACGCCGUAAACGAUGAGUGCUAAGUGUUAGGGGGUUUCCGCCCCUUAGUGCUGCAGCUAACGCAUUAAGCACUCCGCCUGGGGAGUACGGUCGCAAGACUGAAACUCAGGAAUUGACGGGGACCCGCACAAGCGGUGGAGCAUGUGGUUUAAUUCGAAGCAACGCGAAGAACCUUACCAAAUCUUGACAUCCUUUGACCGCUCUAGAGAUAGAGUUUUCCUCUUCGGAGGACAAAGUGACAGGUGGCAUGGUUGUCGUCAGCUCGUGUCGUGAGAUGUUGGGUUAAGUCCCGCAACGAGCGCAACCCUUGAACUUAGUUGCCAUCAUUCAGUUGGGCACUCUAAGUUGACUGCCGGUGACAAACCGGAGGAAGGUGGGGAUGAUCAAAUCAUCAUGCCCCUUAUGAUUUGGGCUACACACGUGCUACAAUGGACAAUACAAAGGGCAGCGAA